GAUGAACGCUGGCGGCGUGCCUAAUACAUGCAAGUCGAGCGAACAGACGAGGAGCUUGCUCCUCUGACGUUAGCGGCGGACGGGUGAGUAACACGUAGAUAACCUACCUCUAAUACUGGGAUAACUUCGGGAAACCGGAGCUAAUACCGGAUCAUAUAUUGAACCGCAGGGUUCAAUAGUUAAAGACGGUUUUGCUGUCACUUAUAGAUGGAUCCGCGCCGGAUUAGCUAGUUGGUAAGGUAACGGCUUACCAAGGCAACGAUGCGUAGCCGACCUGAGAGGAUGAUCGGCCACACUGGAACUGAGACACGGUCCAGACUCCUACGGGAGGCAGCAGUAGGGAAUCUUCGGCAAUGGGCGAAAGCUUGACGGAGCAACGCCGCGUGAGUGAUGAAGGUCUUCGGAUCGUAAAACUCUGUUAUUAGGGAAGAAAAAAUGUGUAAGUAACUAUGCACGUCUUGACGGUACCUAAUCAGAAAGCCACGGCUAACUACGUG
rnacentral:rRNA from 1 species